GCUGAGCUUAGUAACUUAAGCUUGUAACCCAAGUGGGAGCAAUAAGGUGAUUGGGACGAUCAAUUUG
rnacentral:SRP_RNA from 1 species